rnacentral:rRNA from 1 species
CCUACGGGUGUCAGCAGUGAGGAAUAUUGGUCAAUGGGAGAGAUCCUGAACCAGCCAAGCCGCGUGAGGGAAGACGGCCCUAUGGGUUGUAAACCUCUUUUGUCGGAGAACAAAACCCGGGACGAGUCCCGGACUGCGUGUAUCCGAAGAAAAAGCAUCGGCUAACUCCGUGCCAGCAGCCGCGGUAAUCCGGAGGAUGCGAGCGUUAUCCGGAUUUAUUGGGUUGAAGGGGUGCGUAGGCGGUCUGUUAAGUCAGCGGUAAAAUUUCGGGGCUCAACCCCGGCGAGACGUUGAAAAUGGCAGACUUGAGUUGGCGAGAAGUACGCGGAAUGCGCGGUGUAGCGGUGAAAUGCAUAGAUAUCGCGCAGAACUCCGAUUGCGAAGGCAGCGUACCGGCGCCAGACUGACGCUGAGGCACGAAAGCGUGGGGAUCGAACAGGAUUAGAUACCACUGUAGGC